rnacentral:rRNA from 1 species
UUUGAUCCUGGCUCAGGAUGAACGCUGGCGGCGUGCUUAACACAUGCAAGUCGAACGAAGCACCUGAGAAUGAUUCUUCGGAUGAAGUCUCUUGUGACUGAGUGGCGGACGGGUGAGUAACGCGUGGGUAACCUGCCUCACACAGGGGGAUAACAGUUGGAAACGACCGCUAAUACCGCAUAACCCGCUGGUGCCGCAUGGCACUGACGGAAAAGAUUUAUCGGUGUGAGAUGGACCCGCGUCUGAUUAGCCAGUUGGCAGGGUAACGGCCUACCAAAGCGACGAUCAGUAGCCGGCCUGAGAGGGUGAACGGCCACAUUGGGACUGAGACACGGCCCAGACUCCUGCGGGAGGCAGCAGUGGGGAAUAUUACACAAUGGGGGAAACCCUGAUGCAGCGACGCCGCGUGAGUGAAGAAGUAUUUCGGUAUGUAAAGCUCUAUCAGCAGGGAAGAAAAUGACGGUACCUGAUUAAGAAGCCCCGGCUAACUACGUG